rfam:Felis catus isolate Cinnamon breed Abyssinian chromosome X, whole genome shotgun sequence.
GCCUGGGUGGCUCAGUUGGUUAAGCGUCUGACUUCAGCUCAGGUCAUGAUCUCACAGUUUGUGGGUUCGAGCCCUGUGCCAGGCU